CUUACCGAGAAGCGCUGCGACGGAGUUCUCCGCCAGGCUCGGUUUCGAUGAACUGCGCUUGCCUCUA
rnacentral:ncRNA from 2 species